rnacentral:rRNA from 1 species
AUUGAACGCUGGCGGCAGGCCUAACACAUGCAAGUCGAACGGUAACAGGAAGCAGCUUGCUGCUUCGCUGACGAGUGGCGGACGGGUGAGUAAUGUCUGGGAAACUGCCCGAUGGGAGGGGGGAUAACUACUGGAAACGGUAGCUAAUACCGCAUAACGUCGCAAGACCAAAGAGGGGGACCUUCGGGCCUCUUGCCAUCGGAUGUGCCCAGAUGGGAUUAGCUUGUUGGUGG